GAGGUGCUGAGGUGCCAAGGCUCCAUAAUGUAUUAUGGUGACUGCUAUAAAAAUGCCAGAAAUAUUCUCAGCAAACCAUGACUAUCAGAACGUUUUUAUCUGUCAUCUGAAAAAAAAACUGUUGUCCUUGGAUUUGCAAAGGAUUAAUCCCGAAGGACUUAGAUGGUGGGACUGGAAAAUCAUAAAAACUUAAUAGUCAUGCAGACAACAACGCUAUUGGCGUCCAACCUUUGGCUCUCACAAUUACAGAUGUCAACCAUUCCAUUGCAAAAGUUUCACAAUUUAUCGUUAAAAUGAGCCUUUGGAUGUCCCUACAAUACGGCGUUUUUUCGUUUAACGAAUUGGUGCACAGUACACUAGUGUCGGCGUGUGGAAAACCAAAUUUUUAACACGAAAAAGUCGAUUUCACUCCAAAUUCAAAAAUAGAACAUAACGUCGGACCCAGCGCCCUGUGUUUUACGUAUAGCACCCCCAUUUGAUUCUGACGAAUGUAUUAGGAUAAACCCAAGAUAAACCUAUUUCCGAGAGUCUGUUAUAUCGACAAUAAAUACUUUUGAAAAUUCCAUAGAAAA